GUGCUUACUUCAGCAGCUUAUGUACAAACAUUGGAAUGUUACAGAAAAGACCAACAUGGCCCUUGCACGAGGAUGACAUGCAAAUUCAAGAAGCAGUCCAUGUUUUU
rnacentral:snRNA from 1 species